UACGAAGGGGGCUAGCGUUGCUCGGAAUCACUGGGCGUAAAGCGCACGUAGGCGGCUUUUUAAGUCAGGGGUGAAAUCCUGGAGCUCAACUCCAGAACUGCCUUUGAUACUGAGAGCUUGAGUCCGGGAGAGGUGAGUGGAACUCCGAGUGUAGAGGUGAAAUUCGUAGAUAUUCGGAAGAACACCAGUGGCGAAGGCGGCUCACUGGCCCGGUACUGACGCUGAGGUGCGAAAGCGUGGGGAGCAAACAGG
rnacentral:rRNA from 1 species